CCUACGGGAGGCAGCAGUGGGGAAUAUUGCACAAUGGGGGAAACACUGAUGCAGCGACGCCGCGUGAGUGAAGAAGUAUUUCGGUAUGUAAAGCUCUAUCAGCAGGGAAGAAGCAAGACGGUACCUGACUAAGAAGCCCCGGCUAACUACGUGCCAGCAGCCGCGGUAAUACGUAGGGGGCAAGCGUUAUCCGGGUUUACUGGGUGUAAAGGGAGCGUAGACGGUAUGGCAAGUCUGAAGUGGAAGCCCAGGGCUUAACCCUGGGACUGCUUUGGAAACUGUUAGACUAGAGUGCGAGAGAAGUAAGUGGAAUGCCUAGUGUAGCGGUGAAAUGCAUAGAUAUUAGGAGGAACACCAGUGGCGAAGGCGGCUUACUGGACAGUAACUGACGUUGAGGCUCGAAAGCGUGGGGAGCGAACAGGAUUAGAUACCCCAGUAGUC
rnacentral:rRNA from 1 species